CAGCAGCCGCCGCGGGAAUACAGAGGGUGCGAGCGUUAUCCGGAAUCAUUGGGUUUAAAGGGUCCGUAGGCGGUCUUGUAAGUCAGUGGUGAAAGCCCAUCGCUCAACGGUGGAACGGCCAUUGAUACUGCAGGACUUGAAUUAUUGGGAAGUAACUAGAAUAUGUAGUGUAGCGGUGAAAUGCUUAGAGAUUACAUGGAAUACCAAUUGCGAAGGCAGGUUACUACCAAUUGAUUGACGCUGAUGGACGAAAGCGUGGGUAGCGAACAGGAUUAGAUACCCCGUAGUCCCUGUCUCUUAUACA
rnacentral:rRNA from 1 species